AUUGAACGCUGGCGGCAUGCCUAACACAUGCAAGUCGAACGGUAACAGGCCCUUCGGGGCGCUGACGAGUGGCGGACGGGUGAGUAAUGCUUAGGAAUCUGCCUAGUAGUGGGGGAUAACCCGGGGAAACUCGGGCUAAUACCGCAUACGUCCUACGGGAGAAAGCGGGGGACCGUUCGGGCCUCGCGCUAUUAGAUGAGCCUAAGUCCGAUUAGCUAGUUGGUAGGGUAACGGCCUACCAAGGCGACGANCGGUAGCUGGUCUGAGAGGACGACCAGCCACACUGGGACUGAGACACGGCCCAGACUCCUACGGGAGGCAGCAGUGGGGAAGUAUUGGACAAUGGGCGCAAGCCUGAUCCAGCGAUGCCGCGUGUGUGAAGAA
rnacentral:rRNA from 1 species